rnacentral:rRNA from 1 species
CCUACGGGUGGCUGCAGUGAGGAAUAUUGGUCAAUGGACGCAAGUCUGAACCAGCCAUGCCGCGUGCAGGAUGACGGCGCUAUGAGUUGUAAACUGCUUUUGUACGAGGGUAAACCCCGAUACGUGUAUCGGGUUGCAAGUACCGUACGAAUAAGGAUCGGCUAACUCCGUGCCAGCAGCCGCGGUAAUACGGAGGUGCCGAGCGUUAUCCGGAUUUAUUGGGUUUAAAGGGUGCGUAGGCGGUUUGCUAAGUUAGAGGUGAAAUGUCGGGGCUCAACCCCGAAACUGCCUCUGAUACUGUUGGACUAGAGUGUAGUUGCGGUAGGCGGAAUGUCUGGUGUAGCGGUGAAAUGCUUAGAGAUCAUGCAGAACACCGAUUGCGAAGGCAGCUUACCAAACUAUAUCUGACGUUGAGGCACGAAAGCGUGGGUAGCAAACAGGAUUAGAUACCCCGGUAGUC